rnacentral:rRNA from 1 species
GCAUAUCAAUAAGCGGAGGAAAAGAAACCAACAGGGAUUGCCUCAGUAACGGCGAGUGAAGCGGCAAGAGCUCAAAUUUGAAAUCUGGCUCCUCUUGGGGCCCGAGUUGUAAUUUGGAGAGGAUGCUUCGGGACUGGCCCCCAUCUAAGUGCCCUGGAACGGGCCGUCAUAGAGGGUGAGAAUCCCGUCUGGGAUGGGUGGCCUGGCCCGUGUGAAGCUCCUUCGACGAGUCGAGUUGUUUGGGAAUGCAGCUCUAAAUGGGUGGUAAAUUUCAUCUAAAGCUAAAUAUUGGCCGGAGACCGAUAGCGCACAAGUAGAGUGAUCGAAAGAUGAAAAGCACUUUGAAAAGAGAGUUAAACAGCACGUGAAAUUGUUGAAAGGGAAGCGCUUGCAACCAGACUCGCCCGGGGGGGCUCAACCGGCACUUGUGCCGGUGCACUCCCCCCUGGGCGGGCCAGCGUCGGUUUGGGCGGCCGGUCAAAGGUCCCCGGAAUGUAUCACCUCUCGGGGUGUCUUAUAGCCGGGGAUGCCAUGCGGCCAGCCCGGACCGAGGAACGCGCUUCGGCUCGGACGCUGGCGUAAUGGUUGUAAGCGGCCCGUCUUGAAACACGGACC